CACAGUAGAUCUGUGAGGUAGGUCUCUCAUUUUUCCCAUGUAAUAGAUGAGGAUGCCGAGACACAAAGUUCUAGUAUACAGUCUUCAUGGGAUGUUCAUGUUCUGUUCACUGCUGUACCUGUAGGUAAGGAGAACAGUGUGUAACACCCUGAAUAUUUCUUGAAUGAAAAUAGAAAAUAACUCCAUUUCCUCAAGCCAUAGAACGGUAAAGAAGACAGUAUUCAAACUCAAAUCUGAGUAGAUCUAUACCAUUCAUUUUUUUUCUUUUUCCUUUUGAAAUUGCUUAAGGCCAUGGGAGAAUUGCAGUAACAGUAACAGAACAAUAACAGUACAAGACCCAGUGACCCUUCACCUGGACUCCUCACUCUGCCUGUGCCACACUGGCUUUAUCUGUUUCCCGAUAUGCACCAUGAUUUUUUCUGAACCAUGUCUAAGGAAGGUACAGACAUCUUGACACUCCACCUGGACUCUUUGCCCAGUGAUUGCUAAGAGAAAACAUGCAGGUUUUAUACCUAAGAGAAUUAAUAUCAGUUCACAUUUCCUUAGCCAUUCACCAAAUUACUUUAUGGAUUUCCCCCAGUCAGUGUCCCACCAAGGCUCACGCACUGCCUUUGGUUGCUGCCACCUCAGAAGGUCUGUUCUUCUAGCCCUGUUCUGCAGUAUGGCACUUGAGAAAUGCUUAACUCCACUGCAGCAUUUUGUUUUCACAGCCUCAUCACUCUGGCCAACCUUCCUCCCUUGGGAUCAGCAAAUGCAGGAGCAGAGGGGAUUCGCUCAGAGGAGAACAUCUACACCAUCGAGGAGAACGUCUACCCCAUCGAGGAGAACGUCUACACCAUCGAGGAGAAUGUCUACGAGAUGGAGAAUCCAAGUACUGGGGAUCAAACUCGGGUCCUUGCGCUUGAGGGGCAGGCGGUGGAACCCGUGAGCUACAUCCCUGGCCCUCCACCUAUCUUUUUGUGGAAAAGUUGUGUUUUUCACUGAAGAACCCCAGUGGCCAAAACCAUAUUUUUUCCUGGUGGAAGAGGGCAGAGGCCUCCAGGAAUCCGUACUGUCAUCGGGGUCGGUUCCCUUGGUGGGAGACAGUGGUCCCGAAGUGUGAAUCCCAAGAUGACAGAACUAGGUUUGUCUGCUUAUUGCUGACUCCCAGUGCCUGGCCUGGUUCUCAUGCAGAACAGACCCUGACGCUUUGUCUUCAGGAGUUAGACUUCAAUGAGCAAUCAGGUUAGCUUUCUGGCAAGACUUCUCCAGUGAAGAGCUCAGAAGAGCCUGACUCUGUGACUUCACUUCGUGAACCCUCACGGGCGCCCCCAUCUGCUCCGAGUCAGCCGUGGUGGCCGUUGUUUCUCCAUAUGUCUCCCCCUUCAGGCCCCUGAAGGCUGCUGCUCCUGUGCCUGCUCCCUUCCUCCCGGGGAGUCCUCCUGGCUCAUAAAGAAUAAACCAGCUCUGUGGCCCUGUGGCUGCCUGAGCACUGCUCCUCCCAGGGUGAGGGCUCCCUGGCUGCUGUGCUGUUUGCAGGAGAGGUGGGUCCUGCAGAAUGAGAUGGCCUGCUUGGUCCGGUCAUCCUGGCCGUCCGUGUAUGAAUUUCGGUGUGUGGGCUGCAUCUAGGUGUCGUGGAGGACACUGGCUUUCUCAGGGAAGAUAUGUAAGGGAGAUCAUUUCAUAAAGUCCAUUAAGGCAGCAGCUCUCACACAGGCUGAAAAAUGAAUCACACAUGUUUCAAUGUCAUGAAAUUCUACUGCGAAAGAACUUCAAAACAUUAGGAGCAGAUCAAUGGUUUGCCCCCAUGUGAUCCUUGUCUUACAACAAUCUUUAAACAAGGGUGUGUAUACUAAGAUGAUAACUGCAGUAGACCUUGUAAGAGACUGUUUUACAUUAAUAGGGGAAUAAUGGUGCAGUUAAAAAGAGCUUGGUGAUGCCUGGCAUGGUGGUACACACCUGUAAUCCUGGCACUCAGGAGGCUGAGGCAAGAGGAUUGCCAUGAGGUCAUUGUCAGCCUGGACUACACAGUAAGUUCAAGGCCAGUCUCAACCAUUGUACAUAGCAAGAUGACUGUUUUGUGAGUGGGUCACCUUUGAUAAAUCUUUUAUUAUAGGUUUGAGUUUUAUUCUGACAAUUGCUAUAUGAUAACUUGAUACAUUUUCUUCUGUUACUUCUACAUUUUGCAUUUGUACUUUUUUGUUCAUUUUAUAUCUAAUUCAUGUAACAUAGAAAUUUUUUACACUCCAA